rnacentral:rRNA from 1 species
CCUACGGGAGGCAGCAGUGAGGAAUAUUGGUCAAUGGACGAGAGUCUGAACCAGCCAAGUAGCGUGAAGGAUGACUGCCCUAUGGGUUGUAAACUUCUUUUAUACAGGAAUAAAACGAGGUACGUGUGCCUUUUUGCAUGUACUUUAUGAAUAAGGAUCGGCUAACUCCGUGCCAGCAGCCGCGGUAAUACGGAGGAUCCGAGCGUUAUCCGGAGUUAUUGGGUUUAAAGGGAGCGUAGAUGGGUUGUUAAGUCAGUUGUGAAAGUUUGCGGCUCAACCGUAAAAUUGCACUGGAUACUGGCAGUCUUGAGUACGGUUAAGGUAGGCGGAAUUCGUGGUGUAGCGGUGAAAUGCUUAGAUAUCACGAAGAACCCCGAUUGCGAAGGCAGCUUGCUGAACUGUAACUGACGUUGAUGCUCGAAAGUGUGGGUAUCAAACAGGAUUAGAUACCCGUGUAGUC